CAGAAUGCUACUUAAACUUCUGUUUCUAGCAAUAUGGUGGCCUAUCUACUCCGAAUGACUUUGCCACUGCUGAACAGGCAAGAGAUGUGUCACAGGGUAUAACCACAGAGGGUGUAAUGCAAGAAUCUCCCCGAAGACACCAAUGAUCAGAAACAGGAAAUGUUGGAACUUGCCACCGCUGUCAUCCAGCCCACCAAGCAUCUUUGCCCUGACCAGUGCCAUGUGCCAGAAUUAACAGCACUUGAAACUCGUAGCAGUCUAAGAAGCCUCACCUUCUCCUUCCCAUCAUCCCCGACACAGACAACUACAUUCACUGUUGACGGAGGACAAACCUGUGACAAGAUUCCACAAAAUGGCCUUAUGUAUGGAGGAAAGCAUUCGACGGGGAAAGUGGAUUUUGCGUCAAUCAUGUCAGACUUGCAAGAGAGAAGUUUCUGA
rnacentral:lncRNA from 1 species